GAAAAAGGAUUCUCUUAAAAAGCUGCAUGAUGAUCGGUCUGAAUCUAGAGAAUUCUAGCGGUUCGUUUUCAAUUGGAUGCACCAUCAGGAUUCGCGGUCUAAUUCCAAGUCGAUUUCACAUGUUCCAGCUUCCUCUUCAGGUUUGAAUUCUACAUCGCCAACUUCAAUUGCUCAAGCUCCUUCUUCCCUGGUACAAUUUGCGGAAGUUGAAUCACAAGUUGACGGCAAUUCGAUUGACCAUGACAGUUUGAUUGAACGUGUGGUGGAUCGCUCUUCAGAUUCUCAGUCGCGAUCGCUGUAUCAUGUGGCUCCAAUGAUUGCGAUCAUCUCCGGAUCUCCGGAUCUGAAGAACAGUCGUCUGGUCAGGGACGUUUGAUGUCGAUUAGGGCUAAUUGGGCUAUAUCUAACAUUGUACAAUGGAAAUUGGGCUCUAAACAUAUGAUGGGUGACGAUGUGGGGCUGAACUCAGUUGUGGAUCUGGAUUAUACUGAUCUGGGUCGUGGUGUGGGGCAGAAAAUGAUUGUGGUCCUGAUUUUUUCUAUUUAGAAACUGCAUGAGACGGGAAAAGCUCCAUUUGACAGGGGAAAUGCUUCAUUGUCUCACCGUCUUUUCAAUGGAAUGCGAUUGACAUUUUCGGCUACGUGGCACUUAUGGGUCGUGCAUGGGCAGCCUCGACCGCCAGAAGACUCAGCGGAGGAGGUCUUUACGAGGAUUCCGGGACACGCUUCUGAUCAAAGUCUUGAAGACAAGACUUUUUUAAAGGGGGGAGUAUUGAUAGGAACGUGAUAGAAAUUGCAUACUUAAUAGAAUAUUGUAAUUGUGAAGAGGGGGGGGGGGGGUUAGUGUAAUUACUACUUCUAUAAAUAAGGCAUUAGUCAUUAUAGAAAGUAGGAAGAGAAUUGGUUAGUUGUUAAGGCGUAUUGCCAUGUGCAUGAGAAGGGCAUAGCCCUGGGACCACUUGUGGUUGUUAUAUUUUUCUUGUAGAUCCUUUUGGAUCAUCUUCAUCA